rnacentral:rRNA from 1 species
UACGUAGGGUGCGAGCGUUGCCCGGAUUUAUUGGGCGUAAAGGGCGCGUAGGCGGCCACGCACGUCCGUUGUGAAAUCGCUCGGCUCAACUGGGCGGGGUCAGCGGAUACGGCGUGGCUGGAGCAAGCUAGGGGGCAAUGGAAUUCCCGGUGUAGUGGUGGAAUGCGUAGAUAUCGGGAGGAACACCAGUGGCGAAGGCGGUUGCCUGGAGCUUUGCUGACGCUGAUGCGCGAAAGCGUGGGGAGCGAUCCGG